UUAUUUUAUUUUAUUUCGAGGCUCGAUAAGAGAAAUGUCAGAUAAAACUACCAGGCUGGUUAUUUCUUAAGGAUUACAGAGUACCUGCUGCCCCUCCUCCCUGUGUGUAAGGGCUGUAUCAAGGCCACUGGAGACUUUGGUUUCUCUUUGUCACACUUGUGUCUCUGCUGCGUCUAAUUUUACUUUCGCUUUCAGAUCCUGCAGAGGCAGAGUAUCUGAGUCAGGACAGCUCGGAUGAGGAGAACGACGAAAAGGAGGAGGACGAGGAGCGAAGGGAAGGGGUGACGAGCAUGGACGAGGCUCUCAGGACAAUAACGGACACUGGCGGGUGCGAUCGAGCGGAUUUCCUCAAGCAGAACUUUGAGACACUGUCGGAGGGCUGCACUACAGCUGAGCAGAGCAGAGUCCCGAGGCUCAGUAUGUCUUCACGCUUCCUGGCCAGAGGACAUAAUAACCGAGACGUGCGUCUGUUUGCCAAAGCGAAUGGGAAGGAACAAGGCGGCUGCUCUAUUAAGCCCCCGGUGUCAAAAGUGCGGCCCUUGAUGGAAGAUGGCGUAAGCGGGAACGCAGAAAAUAAGAGUCCCGUGUCCCCUGGAAAAGCUCAAGGGCCAAACAGGGCUCCGGAGAGAAGCAGUCCUCCUGCACUUAGACCCCAGAAGAAGACGACCACAGGGUCCCACCUCUGGAGGUUUUCUAAUCCUCCCCCCAAAGCUUCGCUGCUGCCGGACAGGACGGCGUGCAUGCAGAAAUCGCGCUCUGCCCAGGACUUGGCCACGCGCUCUCUUCCCUCCCCUAUGCCCUCUAGUGACCAGAGGGAGUUGCACAAGAGACCUCAGCAGCUUUUCCUCAAUGAACCCUCUCCCAGACCUUCCUCGUGCUUUUCUUCACACUCCUCUGGGUCCCCACAGUCAUCCCAGUCCCCACUUCCGUGGGAGAGCCCUAAACUCAAGCCCCAGCACUCUUACAUGAACCCCACUGCUAGCUCCGUGGCAAAAAGCCGGUCCUCCUCUUUUGGAGAUGCCGUCCAUAUAGUGACCCCGCCAGGCUCCCCCUUGUUCUCCAAGAGGAGGACGUCGUCUGUGGAGAUGGAAACUGAACCUCCCGUGUUCGCCUCAUUUCCUGUCCUGAUUUUCCCAUCCUCCACGCCGUCAAAAUCAUCCCUUCCACUAUCAAACAGUCCCUCCUCGACUCCACCUCAUCCUACAGCCAGCCAGAACGUCCCUCCUUCUCGCAUCCCACUUCCUAAGCAGCCGCUCAGCCCUCGGCGCAGCCUGUGCCUGGAGGUGAAGCCAAGCUCAAGUUGGUCUGGAGGCAUCAGCAGGGCUUCUACUCCUACAACAGACCCCGGAUGUCACCAUAGAGCUACUCCCCUAAACAAACAAGCAUUAGGCAGGCACCUGUCUCUAAGUUUGGAUUCCUCUUUGUCAUGUUCCAUGCCUGUGAAGCAGAAAAGGGACUCGGUUUCUGAGAGUGCCAAGGAGCCAGGUCAGGUGGCUGUAGCUAAAGAGUGCCCUCUGGUGCCUGAACAGGCCCACACAUCAAGCCCACAGCCAGGUUUGGCCUCCCACGACUUCUUUAACCAACCCUCCUCUUAUUUGUUGCUACAUCCCCUGAUGUUUUUCAGUACUGCUUGUCAGUCUUAUCUGUCUCAUAUUAUCUGCCUGCUUCCAGUUAGACCUUUACAAGGACCACACACGACAGAACAACAAGUUUUAAAUAUCUGCUUUUUUUGUUACAUUUGUUACAUUUACAUUUGUUACAUUUUGUUACAUUCAUUCCUUUAG
rnacentral:lncRNA from 1 species